AAAACUCAAUUCGAUCUGGAAUGUUAAUAUUAAGCUAACAUUGGUAAUAUGAUAAUUGUCCAGAACAUCAGCGUGCCUAAGCCUCUCCAAUCUAAAGUUUAAGGAACCUUUUCCAGUAUUGCUGGCCACUCCCACAUCAGUGUUAGUGGACACGGCGAAAUCAACAUCUAAAUGGUACCAUCUUUCCCAGACCAAGAGUUUUGCUUGACUACCCGCCGGCUAAAUGUUGCAUGUGUACUAACUUACUACUUAUGACGGUCAUACCUGAUGUGUAAGUAGGUCUGGUAUGGCCAUGCUCGUCUUUAUGUUCAUGUCCCAUGGGUUGUCUGUGUCUAUUGUGAAAUGUACUGUAUUAUCCUGUGAAUCUGCCUGUGUCAAUCAGUGCCCUGCUCUGCCAACUGCCUCUGCUAUGCAUACUGUCACCCGUUUCCUGUCUCCUCAGCUACUGCCCCACACAGUGAUGCAGCUGGACAGGAUGCUUUCAAUGGUGCCCCGGUAGAAUGCGUUCAGGAUGGGUAUGGGAGCUUUCACUCGCUUGAGCUUACGGAGGAAGUAGAGGCGCCGCUGGGCUUUCUUCGCCAGUGAUGCAGAGUUGGUGGCCCAGGAGAGGUCCUCACUGAUGUGCACCCCCAGGAAUUUGGUGCUGCUCACUCGCACCACAGCCGCACCAUCGAUGGGAUUGCUGCCGACCACAGACAGUGUUCCACUAAGAUAUAAGCAAUGGAGAGUUUUGCACGUCUGACGGCAAUCCGCUACAACGUUGCCACUGCUUGGCCAACAGGCAGGCAGGUCAUGUUCCACUUGUAGGAGGGCCAUAACGGAUCUCAAGUGCAACAUGCAAUCUGUCACCGGCCACCUCAACGUGCCUUGCUGCUUCUGCUCCUCCCUCCGUGUUGCAACAGGAGCAACAGAUCCACAGUGCAACAUGCAAGCUGCUACCUGGAGUUUGACUUGCCGUUGUUGUUGUUGUCGUCGUCGUAUUUAUUUUUUGUGAAAGGGCGCAGAUAUGUGUAGUUUGAAAUAUUUAGUAGUAAUGCCAUGUGUACGCUAUGUGUUUACAUGUUCGUCUCUUUCCCACAGCACCCUAGUCUAAUUACUGCACUAGGUUUUGGCCUGUACGGAUGCAUGCAUGGGCUCAGCUACUGUGCUUUAUUAAUCUUGCUUAUCAUAACUGAGGCAUUGUGGUUCUCUCUCCACUUGCCCCUUUAAAGACAAGCAACACCCAUAAAUCAAUGUGAAAAGUAACGAUUGAUGGCUCUACUGAUGACGGUAAUGUGCAAGUUCUCAGCUGUCUGAGCAGUUAUGAUUUAUUUUGUUAAAAUACACAUCUGUGUUGGUUAACAUAUUAUCUCAUUUGGAACCCAAUAGGCUGUUGAUGAAAUAACAUGUUAAUGUUGUGCCACUGACCAUUUUCACCCAGCUCGAUCAUUAAGGUUUUCUGUUUCUUUAAAAAAAAAAUCUGAAAUUCAGUUGUCUGCUUCUUGU
ensembl:lncRNA